GUUCCUGUAGCGCAAUGAAGAGCGCGUUGGACUUCUAAUUCAAAGGUCGUGGGUUCGAAUCCCCUCUGGAAUG